rnacentral:rRNA from 1 species
AAGCGGACCUCAUAAAGUAUGUCGUAGUCCGGAUUGGAGUCUGCAACUCGACUCCAUGAAGUCGGAAUCGCUAGUAAUCGUAGAUCAGAAUGCUACGGUGAAUACGUUCCCGGGCCUUGUACACACCGCCCGUCACACCAUGGGAGUGGGUUGCAAAAGAAGUAGGUAGCUUAACCUUCGGGAGGGCGCUUACCACUUUGUGAUUCAUGACUGGGGUGAAGUCGUAACAAGGUAACCGUAGGGGAACCUGCGGUUGGAUCACCUCCUUA